rnacentral:tRNA from 1 species
UCCCUUAUAGCUCAGUUGGUAAAGAGUCUGCCUGCAAUGCAGGAGACCCUGGUUCAAGUCCUGGGUUGGGAC